GCCUGAAUGGCUCAGUGGUUGAGUUUCUGCCUUUGGCUCAGGGCGUGAUCCCAGGGUCUUGGGAUCAAGUCCCACAUCAGGCU
rnacentral:tRNA from 1 species